CAAUUGGAAAAGACAUGUUUUCUUUAGGUAUUAAUAUCUUAAUUAAAUGGAAUCAGAUUUUAUAUGAAAAUGAGUUUAUAUUACAUUUCCAUUAUACUGUUAAGUUAAUGUGAAAGUUUACCAUCAAAAUAGUGUUACUUCUUUUAUGACUCUGAAUUGCUUAUACAUACCAGAAUGUUCAUUAAAUGUUUUAAUUUCAUUUAUUUUCCUAUGUUUUGAUUAGUUUCACAUCAAGUCUGAAUACUGUAUAUUUUGGAAGAAUCCAAAACCACAUAUGAAGAUACUCUGAUUUUAAAAGUCAGGAUUUCAUGUACCAAGAAUGACCUACUUGAAGGAGAUUUUGCUACACUCUUGGAGUCCCCAAAAUUCCCCUUUUAAAAAAAUGCUGUCCUCUAGAAGGUGUAUAAACUAUACCUUAGUCAUAAUUCAAUUUAAUGAAAUAGUACCCCAUUAAAAACCAUCCUCCUGCCUCAUACCAAUUCAGAGAUUAAAUGCUGAACUUUUAGUGUAGGCAUUAGGAAUCACUUAGCCACCUAAUAAGGACUAAGAUUCUUGGGUCGCAGAAAAAUCCUGAUGUGCUAGAUUCUUAGUCACUUUAAACUGCAUAGAAGUAAUGAGCAUAGGCUUCAGUAUAUUUAAUAAGGUGCUGAGGCAGCAGAUUCAAAUGCAAAAGAGGGAGGAACCAGUUACUCCAAGGCAGGAUGAUGCACCCCCACACAGAGUGUGGAAAAAUUAAAGUGAAACAAAGAUUUGGACAAUGGCAUUAGGAAGCCUAAGGAGAACAUGCUACGAGGCCAGAUCCUGUCCUGUGCAAGAUAAAAAAGAUCAGCAGAACUAAAGCAAAAGCAGUCAUCUCCAGUGUAUGGGCCUUAGCAAGAGUAAACCAAAUACCUCUCAUUGUGUUAGAAGCUGUGUUAUAUUCCCAGCUCAGAGAUGAUUGUGUGCUGUGCAGUGCUUAUACUCAUUAUUUUCCCAACUAAUGCAUUUGGUCAUAUGUAUUCCAGUUUUUCAAAGACACUACCCAAAGCCUCUUUACAUUUGCAUUGGUUAUAUUUAAUAUUUCUUAAGCUAAGAUCACUGAUUAUCCACACAUCAUUAGAAAUCUUUGGUUACAGUGAAGCUAAAGUCUCCGAAAUGAGACUACACUUAGAUCAGCCCUAUUUCACCUUUGGACUAACGUUGACUAAAUGGCUCCUGGAGUUAUCCACAGAGGGAGCUUACUAUGAUGAGAGCUACUGUGGGGAAACAUAGUAUUCAACAGAGAAAUGGAAGAAUACAAGUAGCAAUGCUCCUUGUCUUCAAUAACAUUUGAGGGAAAGGAAUCUAGAAACCCUAAAGCUAGUCAUGGUGCCUAAGGUAAGACACAAAAAGAGACAUCCAGAAAGGAAGGUUGAAAGGAAAUGAAGGGCAGUAACAAAGCACCAAUGUAAAAUGACCCAAAGCCAACAAUAAAGGCAAUAACAAUAAGGGAAACUAACCCUCCCAAAGGGUUUGAGGAGCUUCCUGCUGUGUGUCCUUAAACAGUGCAUGCCUCUUAAGUCUCUACAACACUUGUUUCAAGGGCAUCAAAUUGGACAUUGGUUUAAUUUUUCCUAUGCUCCCUAUAAUCUCGGGAGGUAACCAUUGUUUAACCAGAAUUACCCUUGCUCUGUUUUUCUGUGAGGCCUCAGACAUAACGGUGGUUCAGCCCUCUCCCUAAGCAGUAGCAAGCCGAGUAAUGGCACACGUAUGUCUAGGAUAGCCAGCAUUCAGGAAAAUUGCUGUGAACCUCCUGUUUUUUAUUUUAGUAAAGAAAAAAAAUGUCUUUCAGGUUUGUGACAUGAAGACAGAUUUAGCUUCCCUCUUGUCAGCAAAUUUGUAAGAACCUGAAAACAACUGAACAUUUGGAAUUCACUCUAAGAGAUACAAAUCCUGAAUUUCUAACUAUCUUCUCAAAUAUUACUGAGGCAAUUAUUAUUGAGGCCAGCAAGAUGCAAGUGUUCUGCAAAGUAAUAAACUGUUCUAAGUGAUAGUGUUGAUGCUGGAAGUGGAAUGUUAUGUUUCCCCUCAGCUGUAUUCAUUCAGAAAGUUUUUCUUGAACAUCUACCAUAUGAGGUGCAGAGAAUACUACCAGGUGCUAGGUUUUCCCGUAUUUGACUUCUGAUUACUAUUUCCUUUUCUCAUCUUUCACUUUUCAAGAUUUUGCUUUACCAAAAUAGUAAAGCCUUUAUCAUCCGCUUAUAUUGAAUAAUGCUGUAAUUGGCCUCAACCAAAGAGUUUCUCCUCAGGUGCUUCGGGGCCUCUACCCUUCUAAGGAACUCCCAGGCACCUACUUAACAAGGCCAGCUACACACUCAGUAUAUGAGAAGCCCCAUGAUAGGUGCAGGUUAGAAUUCAAAGACUGGUUGGAGUCCUAGAUGUGGCGACAGGAUGAUCAGGUGGCACUUGUUAGAUGGGUAACGCUAUCGGUAGAAGCUCCUGAGAGAUUUCCUAACGCAGCAAGAUUUCUGUGAGUGGAGGUAUCCUGGAGGCAGCCUAUUGACCAAGUAAGCUGAUCAGGUGGCCUCCUCUACCCACCAAAGAAAUGUGUAAACACUACCAAUAAUUGCUUUAUCUGAAACUCCUGGAGAUACUCAGUUCUUCCAUCCCACUGUUCUAUUGCCAAUACCUUUUGUUGUUUUCUUCACACUCCUCUUGUCAGCAAAUGUCUGAAAGUAUUUCAAUUGUGUAAUGUUAAAGGGUUUUUUCCAAGGCUUCAGAAAAGAGGGCAACAAAUAUGAAGCCUUAAGUUCAAAAUAAGCCAUUCUACCUAGAUAUACAGACCCCAGAGCACCAUUGCAUGAAAAUAAUCUGUACCCUGCAGUUCCCCAAAACAGUAUUCAUCCUGAAAAGCCAAACACCACACCUAUUUUCCUAAUUGCUAAGAAUCAGAAUAAGCACAUUCUAAAUAGUAUCCAAACCAGAUUCUAAAAUGACAUAGUAAGAAGCCAGAUUCAAACUGUAACCAAAGUAGACAAUAGAAAUAUCACUUUACCCCAUUGUCAUCAGUUAGAACACCCUUGCAAAAACUGUAACCACUUAAGCAAUUCAUCCGAUCCCAGAAGAUCAGACCUUCUUUUGAAAGCAUAGGACAGAGAUCAAUGGGAAAUGUCAGCGUUCUGAGCAACACAGGAUAAAUCUAAGAGGGCCUUUAAAAAUAAAUCUCAAUUCAUACAUUGGAGCAGCAAAAAACUGAGCAGGAGAGAAAACUGAGAGUCCAAAGUCAUUUUUCAUAUAGCUCUUGUCAAAUAGUAUAACCUUUGGGUCUUCUUUGAGUUGCCCGGAUAAUAUUCAAGAAACAACUAAAUGCCCCCCAUUUGGGGAGGGGGGGUUCAGAUCUCUAACCUGGAUUCAAAGCCUUAGAGGCCGAGAGGGAAUCUGGAAUCUGGUAUUACUGAUAUCCUAGGUAAAAGAACCGGCCUGGCAGUCUUUCCCAGCUCACCAGUCCGUGCUUUUAUUUUUAAACCCAAAA
ensembl:lncRNA